ACGGGAGGCAGCAGUGAGGAAUAUUGGUCAAUGGACGAGAGUCUGAACCAGCCAAGUAGCGUGCAGGAUGACGGCCCUAUGGGUUGUAAACUGCUUUUGUACGGGAAUAAAGUGACCUACGUGUAGGUUUUUGCAUGUACCGUAAGAAUAAGGACCGGCUAAUUCCGUGCCAGCAGCCGCGGUAAUACGGAAGGUCCGGGCGUUAUCCGGAUUUAUUGGGUUUAAAGGGAGCGUAGGCCGGGUUUUAAGCAUGUUGUGAAAUGUAGAUGCUCAACAUCUGCACUGCAGCGUGAACUGGAGCCCUUGAGUGCGCAGGAAGUAGGCGGAAUUCGUCGUGUAGCGGUGAAAUGCUUAGAUAUGACGAAGAACUCCGAUUGCGAAGGCAGCUUACUGUAGCGUAACUGACGCUGAAGCUCGAAAGUGUGGGUAUCGAACAGGAUUAGAUACCCUGGUA
rnacentral:rRNA from 1 species